AGCGUCUGUCUCGCCAGGUCCCCGAGUGCAGGAGGAAGGCCCGUGCUACUUUCCAUUCCGGGCGCUCCUUUACGGGCGCGCAGCGGCCCGGGCCGCCAGCAGCAGCUGGAGCGCGGAUGGGGCUCUGCGCGCGAAUGAAUGGGCGCCCGGGGGAAGCGCGGGCUGAAGGGCAUUAGGACCGUGAGGAUCGCUCCGCGCUCCUGUCUCUCCCUAUCACAACCCCCCCCCCCCACCUCUCUCCUUUUUCUGCUUUGCAGGACUGAGCAGCCAGGCGCAAGCGAAAACAAACAGCUGGGGCUGGUAGCGCCCCCGCCCCGGCCUCGAGAGCACGCCGGACCCGGCUCCCACCCUGGGCGCCCGGCCGCCCACCAUGAGGAAGAUCCGCGCCAAUGCCAUCGCCAUCCUGACCGUAGCCUGGAUCCUGGGCACUUUCUACUACUUAUGGCAGGACAACCGAGCCCACGCAGCCUCCGGCGGCCGGGGCGCGCAGAAGACCGGCGGGAGGCCAGAGCAGCUGCGCGAGGACCGCACCAUCCCGCUCAUUGUGAGUACGCCCGGCGAGCCGGGCGGCCGGCCGGCGGGGGA
rnacentral:lncRNA from 1 species